GGGAUAAGAUUUUUAUUUUAUUUUUUUGGUAUAGAGAGAGAGAGAGAACAAAAGAAUCUGUAUCUUUAAUAAUUCCACUUACGAAAUUAGUAUUUACCAGAAGAAACUCUUCUAUUACAUUGUGUGUCUUUGUAAUAAGAUUUUAACAAAUAAAGUAUAGAGAGUGACAAGUGAAGCUAGUGCUUUGUUUGGUUCUCGAAUAUUAUUCGUACCCAUUUUUACAAUUUUUUUUCUUUCUCUCUUUUUUUUUUUUCAACUUUUGUUUAUUGUUGUAAGAUCUUGUGAGCAUUUUAAAUCAUAGAAAUAUCCUCUAAAUCAUAGUGAUGAGAGAUGAGAGAUUCGUUUUCUGAUGAAAGAAUCUAGAAACUGAUCUUUGUGCAUGCAAUUUUAAACCAUUUAUAUUUCUUGGAUUCUUUUAAAUGAACCAGUUUUACUUACGUUACGUUCUUUUUUUUUUUUUUGGUUAGGAUACGUUACGUUCUUUUUUAAACAGCUUUAUUACUUCUUCUUUGUUUAUAUCUUAAAUUUUAAUAUUGAUAUUCACGCUAAAAGCAAACAAAAUGAUUAAAAUAUAAUUUUUAUCAAAAAAAUGUUUUUUUAAUAGUUACAAAUUAUAAAACUUAUUAUCUAUCUUUUCAUUUUUUUUCUACUAUGUAUUUUAUCGAGAAUAUCUCAAAAUAAUAAAACAGGUAGUGUUUUGAUUCCUAGACUAGUAAGACUAAAAUUUUGAAUGGUAUUUCAUCAUGGAAGAAACUCUGAAAAAUCAAAUUGUCUAGGAAAACAACUUAUGUUUUAUUAUAGAAAAAGGAUUCAUCACAUGAGGCUUGUUUAAUUUGUUUCUAAUACAAAUAUUGACUUGUUUCAUUUGUCUCUAAUACAAAAAAAAACAACAACAUAAAUUC
rnacentral:lncRNA from 1 species